UGCCAAGACCAAAAUCCCUCAAGUGCUGAGUAAGUUUUUCUCAAUCUGUGAUGUCACUGUUUUUACACACUUAUAGACGUCAGAGAUGUAUAGAAUGCGUUAUGGAGUGGGAUUAUGAAGCUGCCUUUUUUUAUUUUCAUGUUCACAGAAACAUUGGAAGAAACAAGGACACAGAGGAAUCAGUACAGGUUUUAUGGGUACCUGUGUGCCUACUUUACAUCCAUAUACGGCCACAGACCAGGCCUAUAUAAAAACAUGUUGGUGAAAGAGGUGGAGGAGGCAAAAUGUGACCAGUCUGGGGUGUACCUGAUCAAUGUAAGUCUAUGAAAUACAGCUGGCUGUGUUUAUUUGUUUGUUUGCUUGGUUGGUUAUCUUUGGAAACAAUUGCAGUCGCAGGAGCGUAAUGUGUUUUUUUGUGUUUUUUCUCUGUUCAAUUUCUAUUAGGUGGGGGAACACAAAACAAAUCGGGAGUACGGCAUGGUCCAGAUGUCGCUGACAAAGGAGGAGUACAGCUGGUUUUCCGACUUCCUCAAAUUCAAGCACUGUCUCUUAGGGGGAAAGAAGGCCCAGCACUUCUUUUUCAAUUCAACAAACACUCAGAUGAAGAACCUGCCUGCCUACCUGAGGGAGGUGUGGAAGGAGAUGGGUCUGCCCGAAUGUCCUUCAUUCACUGACCUGAGGACCACCAUUGUCACUCAUGUAGGUCAGAUUAGAUAGGAAUCUAAUUAAUGUAAGAUCCUAUUCUAUUGUUGUCUGAAGUAAUAUCAAUAAUAUCAUAUAUUUGUGUGUGUGUGUGUGUGUGUGUCUUACAGGUAAAAAACAUGCUCCCAAAGGUUGACAGGGAAAGGGUGGCCAACUUCAUGUGCCACAACAUCCAGACGGCAGACAAAUAUUAUGCCAUGAAUUUAAAUCCAACCCAAGCAAAUGAAACCAGGGCACUCUUUGAGGCUGCACUGAAGGGGGAAGAUAACACAGUCGCCGCAGAGAACCAGCCCUCCACCUCAGGAGAAAGAAAGCAGAAGGUGAGAGAGGAUGCCUCCCUCUCCGACGGGAGCACCACCCCUGAAGAGACCAAGGUGAUGUACCAGGAGUCUGGCACGUCCGCCGGUGACUCGGAAGAGGAGGAAGAGGAUGAAGAUGAGGAACAGAUGGCCAGACAACUUCCAGAGACACCUUCCAAGGUGACCAAUCCUCAGGUGGAGAUGGAACUUACCCCAAAGAGGAAGCGGAGCAUCUGCACACGCCGCAUGGAGGUCGCCAUCAGCCCCAUGCUAGUCUCACCCCUCAAAGUGAGGCUCAAGUCGCCCCCCCCACCAGUCCCUCAUUGUCACAUUAAAAGGGAUGCAACAACUAAACUCAAAUAAAGUCAGACUAAAAAAUGCCAUUGCCUCAAGGAGGUUAAAGCUGCAGGAGAAGGUGCAAAAGAGAGGAGGGGACCCCUGAUGCAGCUCGAAGGAAGGGGAGCCGACCAACAACAAGACUUCCUCUUCCAAAUAGUCAUGUAGAUUGUUUUAGACUCUCACAUUUAUACUGUUCUGAUUUUGUUUGGUUUGAUUUUCAAUUUUGGUGUGCUUGUUUACAUUUUAGAAGUGUAAAAUGUGUGUAAUUUAGUCUAACUGUCUGUUCAAUUUUCUAUUUUGGUGUGAUUCUUUAUAAUGUAAAUGUUUUAGAGAACCGUUAGGUUUAGAAGGACAAUUCAACCACAGGAAUGUUCCUAACGUCCUUCCAAUCCAUGCAAGCCUUACCUUGACCGUGUGGCAUUAACCCUUAAAAAUAAAACAGGGUUUUUUGAUCUCACAGAUUACAAUGACAUCUCUCCCCAUAGGAAUACAUUGACAGCUCCCCUAAAUUCAACCUGGAGCCUAUGUGGGUUAAUAAUGCCUUAUGAACCUGUCUUCAAUGCCAAUCCAUCAGGCCACUAUGAGGUCUACCUGUGUCGAUUCUAAGCUUCCUGGAGCAACCGGAAGUGGUUAAAUUCACCCAAAAUGUAUUUUGAUGUACAUAACCUGCAAAUGUGAAAAUGACUGCAUUCAACCCUGGGUAGAUCAGUCAAUUCUUAACAUAAAGACUUUAGGAUUCUCAGGAUUCUGUAAGAGAAUACCCAAAGCAAGAUAUUUGUUUACCUAUAGCUUCCUGUGCCAACCGGAAGUGCCUUUAAUUGGUGUCUCAGGGGCUUCUCCUUAGGAGGGAUGGGGACACCACCACGGGACAGACCCCACACUCAUCGCUAGAGAUCGAACUUCAGACUCCCUUCAAAACCACUGAACCCCUCAACACACCGAAAGAGAUUACGGUGCACACCCUUAGAGGGAGCCGGAACAGGAUAACUCCCUCCACCAUCACAGAGACACAGAGGAGGAGGAACUAUCCAACACCCAGGGAGAGAGAACAAGUGACGUCAGUCGAACACAGUCAGAAAGAGGAGGUGGAAGAGGCGUUAGAUAGAGGAGGAUAUUACCCCAGAGGCCAUUCCUCCUGUUCAUGUGAGCAAGAAAGAGCAGAAGGCUUCUGAUCAGCCAAAUGGCAGGCAGAGGGAGAGGUCAUAGUGAUUCACACCCACAGAGAGAAAGACAACCCACACAACCUCUUGGUUGAGAUGAACCACACAGGUAGAGGCAGAGGGCCUUCAGGGCUAGCCAGUCAGCCUGCCUGCUCUGAUCCUCAAGUCAAUUGUAUAUAAAUUCAUGUUCAUUAAAGAUUUUUAUUCAAGAAUUGACAAGUCCCAUUUCGUUAAAGGGGUCACCCUUUUCCUGCUACAAACACAACUUGCAUAUCAUCACAGACUAGGCCAAAACGUUAAUCUUUUAACCUUGCCUGAAUAAAACAAUGCAUUUUUUAUAGUGAGCAAGAGUUGCUCCUUUUCCUUUUCUAUGAUGAUUCAAAUAUUUGGUUGCACCUCAACUGAACGUUGGUUGAGGGCCCCUUUUUUUUAAUUAAAAGCAUUAAAAUUGUGAUGUUUCUCACUUAUUUACAUAACCUACUCCACACUUGCAAAGUGAAAGUUUAUAGAAAUGUUCUGAAAUUAAGUAGUAAACAGAAGAAAAGCAGAAUUGAGUCCAAUUAUAAUGCGAAUAAUUGAAUGGUCUAUGGUUCAAUCCCAUUUCUGAAGGUCUGAUGAAUAAUUAAUAUUGUUUCUCCUCUUCCUUGUGGCAGGGGCAGCAGCACACUGCCCUCCAAAGCCUGCAAAAUAAUAGCCGGACUGCCCCUUUCCUAGCUCUGCAUGGAACUUCCAGUGCCACGUCCUUGGUGACGUGUGGGGUGACAUCCGGGAUGACCACAGCAACAUCCUCUGGAAAGGGAAAAAAGAGGAACAGAAUGUGAACAAAUGCAAACCGUAGCUUCUAAACACUGGCCAGUUGAAAGGUUCUACUAAGAUGUCAUGACAAACGGCACCUGUCAGAGUGCUCUCUAAGUCUCUCUCUCUUGGGUGCUCUGAAUGGCCUUCCUCUGGCUGAAGCCACAGGGCCAGGAGGAGCCUGGGCACCACCUCCACCACCACCUGAGAUGGGCUGAGCAGGUUGCUACGGGGCUCAUUGGACUGCUCGCCCAGAAUGCUCCUCACAGCUCUUUCCACGGUGCUGUGGACCUUAGGAUCGCUGAAUUCAACAAUAGGGAGAAAACAAAGCUAAACGAUGUGCAAUGUACUCACUUAGAACACUUUCUUAGUCUGUUUCUGCGUAGUUCCAGAUGUGUAGAUAAAUGGAUCAAGUCAUAUGCGGGGCAGUACAUGGAACUCACAUGUCAGCUGGCGAGGUGGGGUGCAUGGAGCGGCGGAGCUUGCAGAAAGCCUUGUGCUCUAUGUUCAUCAUUUUUAGGCAAGUGUUUACUUCCCAGGCCUGCAGUAUGAAACAGGAAGUCCCAUUAGUGUAAUUUCACAACAGAUCUAUCCUGCUGCGCUAACUCGUUGUUGAAAGGCUGGUAAAGAGCUCACUAACUUGUAGCAUGUCUCUAACUCUCAUUCUCUUACCAGCCGAGCGAGGUCGUUUCCCUCCUCCAGGGUUUCCUUCCACACCCUUCAAAUAAAACACAGAGCAUUUCAACUUUCCUGGCUUCUGAUUUUUCUGUUGUUUAUUUUACCCACAUCUCCUGGAGUGCUGCUGGUGGCAGGGAAUGGCAGUGAAGGUGAGUGCUGACGUGGUACUCACCACUCCCUAAGGGAUUUUUGCCCUGAGACACCAGCCAGUUGCUCAUGUGCUCCGUGGUGACAUGGGGAGGGACCUGGCCUUGACUCUGGAGCAGCAGAUAGUGGACCAUGAGCUUCUUCUGCAAGAUGAGGUAAGGUGUGAGACCGUGCCACGAAAUACCAUGUCAUUUACUUUCAGAAGGGCCUCUCGCAACAUUUCACAACUGCUCAUGCCUCACAAUUUGCAAGUGAUAUUAAGAACUCUUGUUUAUGUUUUUGUAUGGUGAAUCUUACCUGUUUAUUGUAAUAUGUUUCCUCCCAGCAGGCCUGCAGAGUCUGAAAAUUAAGGCUGCUCCUACAGAAUUCCUUUGAAGAUCAUGAAAAUAAUGAUGCUUUGUUAUGCACAUUAUGCACAGGCAUUUACAGUGUGCUAAAAUUAA
rnacentral:lncRNA from 1 species